rnacentral:tRNA from 2 species
UCCCCGAUAGCUCAGCUGGUAGAGCGCGGGACUGUUAAUCCCUAGGUCGUAGGUUCGAGUCCUACUCGGGGAGCCA